rnacentral:rRNA from 1 species
GACGAACCGUGCGAACGUUGUUCGGAUUCACUGGGCUUAAAGGGCGCGUAGGCGGGCGGUCAAGUCGGGGGUGAAAUCUUUCCGCUUAACGGGAAGCGUGCCUCCGAUACUGAUCGCCUCGAGGGAGGUAGGGGCAUGUGGAACUUCCGGUGGAGCGGUGAAAUGCGUAGAUAUCGGAAGGAACGCCGGUGGCGAAAGCGACGUGCUGGACCUCUUCUGACGCUGAGGCACGAAAGCUAGGGUAGCGAACGGG